rnacentral:misc_RNA from 1 species
CGCGAUAGAUGUCGCCACAUCACUCCCCUCCGAGACCGGAGGUCGAUAGCAGGUUAAAUCGUCCAUUCAUCUUGUGAUGCUUGCCGGGCCAGUAGAGUGUUCCAGUGAGUUGGAACCAGAUGCCGCAUAGUUCACGGUGAGUCGGAACUGUCUGCGGUGAUGCUGCAUAUGCUCCAGUGAGUCGGAGUGGUGCAGUGCUGCGUAGUGGCUGGCUGCUGCGUCGACCAGGAGAGAAGUGCGUCUCUGCUUGCUGACCGGCCGAAGUGCAGUGUGCUGUGCCAAAGUCGCUGAGAAGGCUGUGGGUGAUGAACAGGAAUGCGCGUCCGCUGCAUGCUGGUGGUCAGAAUACCCGUAGUAGCCGUAGAUGCUGGCUGGCUGAAGCCGUAGAUGCUGGAUGCUUCUUGCUGCUCGAAAGCUUGAGGAAGUGAUGAUGACGAUGAAGGUUGCGCUGAUGUUCAUGCUCGGGGUCAAGUGAUGAUGAAGUCAUGAUGACGUAGCUUGCGAAGGCUGCGCUGAUGUUCAUGCUCGGGGUCAAGUGAUGAUGACGUCAUGAUGACGUAGCUUGCGAAGGCUGCGCUGAUGUUCAUGCUCGGGGUUACCAGUUUAGUAAUUGUGAAGAAUCACGUCGGCCAUCGAAAAGGGAGGAUCCUCCAACCAGACGGGUGUUGUGUCUGGCGGGC